rnacentral:rRNA from 1 species
GACGAACGCUGGCGGCGUGCUUAACACAUGCAAGUCGAACGGAAAGGCCCUGCUUGCAGGGUACUCGAGUGGCGAACGGGUGAGUAACACGUGGGUGAUCUGCCCUGCACUUCGGGAUAAGCUUGGGAAACUGGGUCUAAUACCGGAUAGGAGCCAUCUUUAGUGUGGUGGUUGGAAAGUUUUUUCGGUGUAGGAUGAGCUCGCGGCCUAUCAGCUUGUUGGUGGGGUAAUGGCCUACCAAGGCGGCGACGGGUAGCCGGCCUGGGAGGGUGUACGGCCACAUUGGGACUGAGCUACGGCCCAGACUCCUACGGGAGGCAGCAGUGGGGAAUAUUGCACAAUGGGCGCAAGCCUGAUGCAGCGACGCCGCGUGGGGGAUGAAGGCCUUCGGGUUGUAAACUCCUUUCGCUAGGGACGAAGCUUUGUUGUGACGGUACCUAGAUAAGAAGCACCGGCUAACUACGUG